CGCUAGCUACAGGCUUAACACAUGCAAGUCGAGGGGAAACGAUAGAGAAAGCUUGCUUUUUCUAGGCGUCGACCGGCGCACGGGUGAGUAACGCGUAUCCAACCUGCCCAUCACUUGGGGAUAACCUUGCGAAAGUAAGACUAAUACCCAAUGACGUCUCUAGAAGACAUCUGAAGGAGAUUAAAGAUUUAUCGGUGAUGGAUGGGGAUGCGUCUGAUUAGCUUGUUGGCGGGGUAACGGCCCACCAAGGCGACGAUCAGUAGGGGUUCUGAGAGGAAGGUCCCCCACAUUGGAACUGAGACACGGUCCAAACUCCUACGGGAGGCAGCAGUGAGGAAUAUUGGUCAAUGGGCGAGAGCCUGAACCAGCCAAGUAGCGUGCAGGAUGACGGCCCUAUGGGUUGUAAACUGCUUUUAUAAGGGAAUAAAGUGAGAGUCGUGACUCUUUUUGCAUGUACCUUAUGAAUAAGGACCGGCUAAUUCCGUGCCAGCAGCCGCGGUAAUACGGAAGGUCCGGGCGUUAUCCGGAUUUAUUGGGUUUAAAGGGAGCGUAGGCCGGAGAUUAAGCGUGUUGUGAAAUGUAGACGCUCAACGUCUGCACUGCAGCGCGAACUGGUUUCCUUGAGUACGCACAAAGUGGGCGGAAUUCGUGGUGUAGCGGUGAAAUGCUUAGAUAUCACGAAGAACUCCGAUUGCGAAGGCAGCUCACUGGAGCGCAACUGACGCUGAAGCUCGAAAGUGCGGGUAUCGAACAGGAUUAGAUACCCUGGUAGUCCGCACGGUAAACGAUGGAUGCCCGCUGUUGGUCUGAAUAGGUCUGCGGCCAAGCGAAAGCAUUAAGCAUCCCACCUGGGGAGUACGCCGGCAACGGUGAAACUCAAA
rnacentral:rRNA from 1 species